CUCUAUAAAUAGGGCAGCAGCAGGACCUGGUUUACUGUUCUUUCACCCUCCAGCCUGCCCGGUGAGGAUGGUGAUCCCCGACCUGCCCCUGUGAAACGGCUCCAGACGCUGGGACUGCUCAAAGCACUGCUUGGGCCCUGUCUGUGGCCUGGGUGUCUUGGGGGAAGAACAGAGUUCAAAAGUGGAACAGCAGGCAGCCUGGGGGAACGUGAGCAGGCCAAAACAGGAACACCCCAGCUCCCAUUCAGACAGCAGCGAGGCCCAAAAGGAACAGACUCAUCUUGGAACACUUGAAACAGGAAAUGUCACAAAUUAAAACUCUCCCUUGGAAUAAUAAAAGUCACAUUCCUUGCAAUAAGCACAGCUAAGCAGCUGGGCAAUGAGCCCUCCUGCCUCAGCCAUUUAUUGAAGGUGACUGCAGAACAGUGCUCAUGACAACCCUGGUUACUUUUUCUACUUUUCAUUCUGAGCAGUAAACCAAAGGAACGUGCAUACAUCCACCCUCUUCAGCUGAAUUAUGCCAGAGCUGUACAUAA